rnacentral:ncRNA from 1 species
GGGAGCCGUAUGAACUGAGAGGUUCACGUACGGUUCUGGGAGCGCACGAGGGUGAAAUCCCCUCGUGCGACUCGCU